AGUGAACGCUGGCGGUAGGCCUAACACAUGCAAGUCGAACGGCAGCACAGUAAGAGCUUGCUCUUACGGGUGGCGAGUGGCGGACGGGUGAGGAAUACAUCGGAAUCUACUUUUUCGUGGGGGAUAACGUAGGGAAACUUACGCUAAUACCGCAUACGACCUACGGGUGAAAGCAGGGGAUCUUCGGACCUUGCGCGAUUGAAUGAGCCGAUGUCGGAUUAGCUAGUUGGCGGGGUAAAGGCCCACCAAGGCGACGAUCCGUAGCUGGUCUGAGAGGAUGAUCAGCCACACGGGACCGGAGACACGGUCCAGACUCCUAGGGGAGGCAGCAGUGGGGAAUAUGGGAAAAUGGGCGCAAGCCUGAUCCAGCCAUACCGCGUGGGUGAAGAAGGCCUUCGGGUUGUAAAGCCCUUUUGUUGGGAAAGAAAAGCAGCAGGUUAAUACCCCGCUGUUCUGACGGUACCCAAGAAUAAGCACCGGCUAACUUCGUG
rnacentral:rRNA from 1 species